CAGUAUUUGGCUACUUGGAAAGGUCCUGGAGACGCUGCCUAAUCGGUGCCUCCAUUUGGAGAGACUUUCUGUGGCAUAAAGUUCGGUAGCACAGAGAAGAUUUUGGCGGUAAUGUGCCUGAUUAGAAGUUCCCCACUUCGGAAAGCAGUAAUGUCUGAGAUUCUUCGACCAAAAAAAAUGUGCAGGUUCAAGCCAAGGAAUGGACGACCGCUGGUUCAACAGUCAUCUUUUGGGAAGAUUGGCCACAGGUGAGAAAGCAACUUUCUCGAGGAGUUGCUGCAGUAUCAGCGAGCCUCGGCACAAGCUUGUCCACCCAGAAGUCGAUCAAUAUUAAGAAAAAAGCACACAUGGGAUUGGUAAUUACUUAUUGAUAUCAUUAGUAUUAACUGAUGUGUAAAACUUUUGAUCGGGUGUCUUGGUAAUAUUUGUGGAAGAAAAUCGUCCAUUUUCCUCA